GCCUCUGUGGCGAAAUUGGCAUACGCGCAACGUUCAGGUCGUUGUUUACUUUUUGUAAAUACUGGUUCGAAUCCAGCCAGAGGCA
rnacentral:tRNA from 1 species